UACAAAAAAGCACUUUGCAGUCAAUUUUGUUGUUACUUUAUGUUUUUGAAAAUCCCUCAAUAUGUUGGUUUUAGAAGAUAAAAGGUAACUGUUGCUGAAAAGCAGAAAGAUGCAAUAACAAGACUGAAAACCAAUACCCAUGGAAAAAAAAGAAAAACAUCUGAAAAAUUCUCUCCCAGUCAUGAAGAGAGGAUAUACUCAGACCCAUCUAAUGAAAACCAUUGAAUGAACUUUACCUUGAGGGUGGAUGUUUUCACAGCAACAUCAAGGCGAGUUCAGAAUGUCCUUUGCCGGGGCGUGAACCAGCAUCCUUUCAGCAGCAGAGUACCUACUGUGCACAAGAUGCCGUGGUCAACCACAAGUGACUGUGAAGAGGGGGAAUCCACCUGCAAAGUGGUUGCAGCAGAAACACACAGAAUGGGAGCUGAUCACCCACAUCAAUACCGACCUGAGUGGCCACAAAACCCACCUGCAAUAUUCCAACAUGUAAUGGAAAACCUUCCCAGAAGAGCAAAGGCUAUUACAGGAACAAAGGGAGGCCCAGCUUCAUACAGAUACCCUUGGUUUCAGAAUAAGAUGUUGGACAAACUGGUGUCCACGUACUCUUCCCUAUAUAGUGUAUAUAUAUUUUUUUUAGAAUUUUUCUCUGUGUGACCCUACAUGUUACAGAAAUCCUCACUUCAGAUUAGUAGAUCAAAGGGCCUUCAGAGCAAACCCAAAACGAAGAACUGCCUCUCGCUGAAUUCUGCCACUUGUAGAUUUGCUUUUCACGGAUUUUGCAUUUGCUGACCUGGUUGUGUUUUAAAAAAAAAAUUCUAAUAUUGGAAAGCUGUGAAAAUAACUGCAGAAAAGAAACUAUUACAUUCA